CUGCAUACUGUAGACUGACUAACGCCUGCAGAGACACAAUACUGCCCCUGCCUUUGCAAGACCCCUCCCAGCAGGGUCUUCCCUUUCAUCUGGUAAAGCCCAGGCAUUUGGAAGCAGGGAAUGUCAAGAGCUCAAGGCCCAGGAAUCCGAGAGUUAACACUGUCCACCUGCUCCGUUAGCAUAAACUAGAUAUCCUGUUCAUCGGACUCUGUGAAGCCCUGCCUGUUCCUGUCAGAUACACUCAAAAGUCACUCCUCAAGACAACGAUUAUGUCUUAGUACAGCAGUUCUUAACCUGUGGGGCGUGAGCCCUUGUGUGUGCGUGUGUGUGUGUAUGUGUGUGUGUGUCAGGGGGAGUGUCAAGGAAGCUGGGAUGUGUAAUUGUAUAGUUGAGCCAGUGGUUGCCAUGACAGAACAAUGCCUAUGCUUCAAAAGCAAGAUGAGAAUGAGGAGAGGAGAUGAUGAUUGGUAGCGGCCGC
rnacentral:lncRNA from 1 species